AUACCCAGCUAUAUUCCAUGGGGCACAGCCAUGGCAUGAAGAUGACUGAGUCAGGAAAGGACAAUAUCAGUGCCAGACCAGCUCUCCUCUUGGACAGUCUUAACCCUAUUCUCGAACUAAAGGCACUCAAUGGACCUGAUGGUAUCUGUAACUCACAACAAUUUCAAAGAUUGUAACUUUGCAAACAAAAAAGAAACAUUUAUCCUUUUCUCCCUACCUGAUCCUUCCAGACCUCAGAAACUCAUCUUGAAUAUUCUUGUUCUCAUUGCAAUAUAGUUGCUUGCAUAAGAUCGCCCUGCAGGCUGAAGCUGGACAACAUAUUGUAACUUCAAAGGAUUUAUCACCACAACAAUGUGGACCACUCAGAAAAUUCACUGGAACACCUGCAUCUUCCAUGCUCCAUUCCAAGAAAUAGCCAUGGCUGUGACAUGGCCACUACCACCCUCCCUGAAGAUGCUUCAAAACUGAACAUCUGGAAAUCUUCCUGACUGGCUGCCCUCUGGAUUCAGAAACUGCUCCAACCAUUAAUCUUUGUUUUUCUCUCCCUUUGCAUAUCUCUUUCCUUGCAACUUCUAAUCUGAAUUUCUCUCCAGAGCAAUCAACCUAGUCUCCUUUUUUUCUUUUUUCUUUUUUUUAAAAAUAUGUGCGGAAGUUUCAACUGGGGGAAAUCUGGAGAGACCCCCAGAGUUGAUUUUAAAGUGAAAACAUUUGAGCUAAAGAAGAUAGAGAAAGAAAUCUUAUCUCAACUCCCCUUAUCUGGCUCAAGCAUAACUUUCAAGCUCUACAGCUGCUAUUAACCUCCUCCCCACCUCCACCCGACUUUAGGCUUCUCCUAUGAAUUCUACUGCCUUGGAGGCAGACUGUCCAUUGCCAUUAGCAUCAAAAAGUCCCACAGAAACUUCCUUGCCUUCCCAGUGAAGUCCUAACUACCACCUCCAUCCCUUUGUUUAGUUUGGUAUAUAAAACUUUUUUAUCCUGUCUAUUGAGUGAGUUAUCUAUCACUGAGUAAUUCUGUGUGAGGGCAUAAGUAAACCUCUUCUCUUCUUUUGUUAACCUAUCUAUUGUCAGUUAAUUUGCAAGUCACCAGCCACUGGACUCAAGUUAGAAGAGGAAGAGGUUGCCUGCCUAUGCAAUAAUUUCCCCCCUGCUGACUGCAAUGCAUUGCUCCCUGAUGAAAGCAGCAUUCACUGCCAUGACUACAGGAUUAUUUACUCCUGUACAUAUGUGUGCAUAUAGGCAUGUGUGUAUUUACAGAGUUAGCAGCUCAGCAGGUUGUGACUAAACAUCCUUAGGAAUUUCCUUGGUGAGUCAAAGCUUAUUAAAGUAGAAACACUUCCCAGAAGAUCAGAAAUCUAUCUUCAAACCAAGCUCAUUCCCCUGCUUGUUGCAUCAUCAAGCCAGGCAGCUUAAAAUAAAUCAUCUAUUAAAAGUGAACCAAUUACCAAACUCACCUUCCAACACUUCCAACACCAGUUUUGGGAAAUGGACUGGAAGGACUCCUUCAAUGGUAACUUGACCUUGCUUUCGCUGAUGACAUCGUCUUGGAAUGUUGGUAAACUUCCUUUGGCAUAUGCUUCAGUGAGGAGAUAGUUGUCUAAAUUAAUGACAUGCCUUAAUGAGAGACAGUUGGGAGCUUUGGUAUCUGGUGAACGGUGUUCAAUUCCCAACUCAACCAUUUUGUAGCUUUGUAAACUUGAACAACCUUUUACAUGCUUGAGACUGCCUCAGUUUGCUUAUUUGUAAGGUGUAGGGAAGAACUCUUAACCUGAAAGAUUUGGGGAAAAGAUAAAAUGAGAUAGUUGUAUAUACAAGUGCUUAAUUUUCUUCCUAGCUUCUUUAAAGUGCUCUCAAGAUCACUUGGAACAGGAUUAGCACUCUGCAGCAACAAUGACCUAGCUCUUUCCUACAUUACAGCUUAUGCCCUAAUCCAUGUACUUAACUUUCUUCACUUAUUGUCCUGCUUCUUUUAUUGCUGGAAAAACACCAUAUAUGCUUUCUGUGGACAGAAAACUAUUCAGUUUGUCCUAUGAAUAUCAAGUCAAAAAUUAUAAAAAGCAGAAUAGUUUCUUUUUGGUUAUUUUCUAAAUGAUAAUAAUAAUAACAGCAACAGCAAUAGUAAAGCUUUCUGUUUAAUUUUGUGAAGAUUUUCUAUAUUUCCUUUCAGUUUAAAUCUGGUAGACAUAAGAUGAUAUGGAGUCUGGGAACCCUUCUUUGUCCUUUUCUUGUGUGUGUAAAUCUCAUCAUAGCUGGCUCUACGCGCCAUGACCUGAGCCACCCUCAGUCUGGACUGACCGCAUUGGGCAAUAAGCCGUCCAAGAUCUUUCUGGUCAGGGCUUGGCAGCAGGCAUGAAGGAAGAUGCCAACAUUGUUGCCAAGUGGAUGGCUCAUAUUUUCCAUCUUUGUCUUUGUGAAUGGCAGUCAUGUGCUCCUCGUGGUGCCCAAUUGUGCAACAGACGUCGAGGCGCUGAGCCAGAACAAGGGCCUAGGAUGAGGUUAGGCCCUCCUGAUGGGCAUGGGCCUGGGGUGGGCUCACAGCCGUGUGUUCAGCUUGGAUAAUCAGCUAUGGCAGAUUAGAUAAAAUCAGAAACGGAGGCUGAGAGUGUCCCUAGAAAUGGCAAGAAUGGGGGUUAGAGUGAGGAACUUGGGCUGGUCAGCAAGUUGAUCAUACAGGUGUGACAUGGUCCUUAGAUCAGGCUCAAAUAAGGAAAUUUCAGGAGUUGGAUAAGGCCAAGACUCAGAUUGAAGGCAAUAACCAAGAUCAUUCCAGAUACUUCCUCAGGGGUGUGUGGUGCUGAUGAGAGCUUCCAUUUACCUAAGUGUGGCUUAGAAUUUCUCUUGGCAGCUCCACUAUGGAGUAAUCUACCUAUUUUGUCAGAGACCCAGGUCAUGGUGGACACUGAAAAGAGGAUUCUGAUUCCAUUAGAACAAAAGUUGAAUAUUCUUUGGGCUAGGACCACUGAAUCUUUCUAGGUCAGUAGUCCUGUCUUCUGAGCCGAAAUCUGAGGCAAAGUCUAGGAUUUUCUCUGCCCACUCACAAGGCAGGGAGAAAGGUCCCAACCCUGGGAAAUCUAACCAGACUCUUGAUGAAAAAAAUCAGCGCUUUAGGAAAAGUGUUUUUCAGUUUUCUUCCUGUAUCCAUGUGAGGGUGGUAUCUAUGGUGAUUUUAUAGAAUAAUCCCUGGGCUAGAUCAACUGUCAAGGAAAUACAUCUACUGCACUGAACACUUACCCUGUCUAUAAGCCUUUCUAUCUACAACAUCCCAUAGAGGAUAAAAAUUUUUGUUACCGAUAAGUAGAUAUCACCAUCACAGGUUGUCAACAGUAGUACAAAUCCUUUAAGGUCCCUUCAUUAACUUUCAGUCCCAGACCUGUGCUUUUUUCUUCACCUUUGGUUGGUCUCUUAACCUGGCUAAGAAAAGCCCUAGGGAUCUGAGAGAACAUGAAUGAUGAGGAGUCAUCCCAUGAGAUCUUCAGCCCUCUGUUGACAUGGUCCAUAUCUCUAAGGGCUUCCUACACCUUCCACAACUCCCACAACUCUCCUUCUAAGAAUCCUGUAAGGAAAAGAUCCCUGGUCUAGGCAGCAGAUGAGAUUCUUCCUGGCUGUAGAGAUGUGGGGUCAGGAAACUUCGAAGUCCUCUUUGUAGCGAUGUUCACACACUGAGUCAAAAUGAGGAUCAUCCGAGUGCAGGAAUCAGGGCGCAGAUGUCCUGGAGGAAUGCCAUAUCUGGUCAGGAGUCCCAUCAGUGACCUGACGCUCUUUGGCCCAGCCUCAUCCGUCCAGGAGGAGUGGCAGCCUUCCCGAAUGACCACACCCUAGUUCCCUAAGGCUGCCAGGCCACCUGGGUUUUCAUGAGAAAACAUAUAGAACACACUGUAUGUGCUAAGUACAUAAAUUAAAAGUCUACAUGUGGUAUUUUCUUUACUGGCAGAUGAAGUCCUGGUCCUAGUUCUGGGGGGCUGGGGGAGGGGUGCGAAUUGGCUUUAUAGUACAUUUCAAAACAGAACAAAAAUAACUAAGACUAAACUAAAUAAACAAAAACCUUGGCUCCUUCAAGUUUUGCAUAUAAAUAAGAGACCUUGAAAUUUUCAGCAGAAAUGUCUUUGUACACAUCAAAGCAACAUAAGCGCUUGAAGCUUGUAAUGAAUACUGGAACACCGUCAGAAUCCAAGGCAACAUGCAAUGUAGGUUGAAGGGGAAGAUUCACAUACCUCUGGCCCCUGUGGAAAUGAUCUCAUCGAUCUGGAUCAUGUCCCACCUACAAAGCACUUCUUAGAUUGGAUUAACCAGGUGAUUGCUUCAUCCCUUCAACCUGCUUUCCAUGUACAAAAAUAUCUUAACACUAAGCAUGUUACCCUUCUGUAGAACCGAACUUGAGUUCUUAGCAGCAUUUUGCAAAUUUAUAGUUUGACUUGUAUUUCCCAGAAUCUUUUCUUUGUAACAGUGCUUUUAGAAAGAUUCUUUCAGUGUUGAUUUGUGUGGCUGAGCCUCCCUGGAAUAAUCUGGCCUCCAGCAACUCCUCACUCCACCCCCAGUAGGAGCUUGAAUAAUGACUGAGUGACCAAGUGUCCCAUUCAGUUAUUAUUCAACUAUAUUAAAUUGCUAAAGUUGGUAAUUGGAGCAUAUCUUAUUACAAAGGCAAAAGUUCAACAUUUUUCCCCAGGCACAAUAGGCUUGCACAUUUAAAAACUUCUGGUCUGGUAAGGAAUAAGAUGUCAGGGCAUGGAGCAUGCAACAAAUUAAACAGGGAAAGAUAUAUUAACCAAACUUGAGCAAAAUUCUAGGCAUUACCUUGAAGGUACUUACCAAUCCCAAACCUUCUAUAAAGGGGUGCAAAGAUAAAGUAGGUAAGGAUCUUAAAAAUACAUCAGCAUUCCCAAGCUCUAUUAGGCUUACACAGUUUAAAAACUACCAUUUAAAAUACUAUACUAGGGACUGAUAUCUAGAUGGUAAAAACUUAUUGUUUAUAUUAUAUACACUCUUUGUCUACUUGGAUGAGUUGGUGCCCAGAGAGUUCUGAUGACUAAAUAUUUUGAAAUCUUGCCAGAUUAUGUGAAAUCCUGUUUGCAUCCAUAGCUAUAGACUGUUUACUGGAAGUAUUAUGUGGAGUAUGGCUGAAGGGCCUGGUUUUCUCUAACACAGCAAGAGAAGGAGCAAUUUUAGCAAAAAAAUAAGAAAUUCAGGUACCUGCUUGGAUGUGGUCACCCCAAGUUACUGCCUCAAAGAACAGGAAAUGAGUGUUGAGGGAGCUACAGAGACAGCCUAUAGGGCAGGACUCUCCAAGGCUGCCUCAUCGGAAGACUCAUUUGGGGCACUUAUUUGAGAAUCUAGAUUCUUAAAUGCUUUCCCUGGAGGAGGUGAUUACUAUGUUUUGGGGUGGGCUUAGGGAUCAAUAUUUUUGAGAAGUGUAGCAACGAUCCUUACAGUAAAGCAAAUGAGAGAAACACCCUUCCAUCUUUGAUUGUCAUUCAUGAUACUAUCAUUUAUUCAUUUAUUCAGUUCUUUAACACUCGCUCUAGUAUUUCUCAAAGUGAUCCUAAAUCCUCUACAUCAAGAUAAGCUGGAGUGUUUGACUAAAAUACAGAUCUUGGGGUGCAUCCCAGACUUCUCCUAUAAGAAUCUCCAGAGGUAGGACCUGGAAAUCUGUAUCUUAAAUGGGCAUUCUAAGUGAUUCUUACGUAGUAUUAAGUUUGAGAAUAUUGCUGUGUGCCCGGCACAUAGCAUGUCUCUUCUCCUUGCCUGUUCCCAGUCCAUAGCUAAUGAGCACUUAUUUACAAACUUACUCAGACAGGGGUCAGUGAAUGCUGUAUGUGGGCAUGAUGUGAAGGGGGAGGGGAGAGACGCAGUUCUUCCUGCUUUAAACCGGAAGAUUAUAAGGCUUGUAGGAGCAAGAAGAGAAGCUACCCUACAGGUGCAGUGGCCAAGUUUUGGUGAGAUGCAGGAAAGCUGGAUAGGGCUCAGGCCCCUUGGGCCUCUGGAGCCUGUGGAAGGAGCCCACCCCAUGCCUGGUUGGAGAUGGCCAUGCAAAGGCUCCACAAUCCCAGGGUCAAGUGUUGGGGCACCGGCCAGACCUCUCACUCAGAAUUUCCUGCCAGAGCUCCAGCCCUGCGGGACAUAAAUAUACUUUACUUUUCUCCUUUCUUCUCCCAUUUCCUUCGUUUUGUUUGUGGAAUGGUAAUAGAACUUGCCCAGGCAUUGUUUCAUUUUGACAUUAUAACAAGGUCUGUUCUGAAUUCACUUUCUCCAUUAGAAGCCUAUGGAGUGUCCAUUGUUCCUAUGGACUUUUACUGAUGUAUAAUUGUGCUUAAAAUAACUCAUCCAAAGUCUGUCUGGAAAAAUAAUAAGUAAAUUGUUUUAAGUAAAAUUUGGCUGAUGAUUCCC
rnacentral:lncRNA from 1 species